rnacentral:rRNA from 1 species
GAUGAACGCUGGCGGCGUGCCUAAUACAUGCAAGUCGAGCGAAUGGAUUAAGAGCUUGCUCUUAUGAAGUUAGCGGCGGACGGGUGAGUAACACGUGGGUAACCUGCCCAUAAGACUGGGAUAACUCCGGGAAACCGGGGCUAAUACCGGAUAACAUUUUGAACCGCAUGGUUCGAAAUUGAAAGGCGGCUUCGGCUGUCACUUAUGGAUGGACCCGCGUCGCAUUAGCUAGUUGGUGAGGUAACGGCUCACCAAGGCAACGAUGCGUAGCCGACCGGGGAGGGGGAUAGGCCACACGGGGACUGAGACACGGCCCAGACUCCUACGGGAGGUAGCAGUAGGGAAUCUUCCGCAAUGGACGAAAGUCUGACGGAGCAACGCCGCGUGAGUGAUGAAGGCUUUCGGGUCGUAAAACUCUGUUGUUAGGGAAGAACAAGUGCUAGUUGAAUAAGCUGGCACCUUGACGGUACCUAACCAGAAAGCCACGGCUAACUACGUGCCAGCCGCCGCAGUAA